UUACGGUCAAAUCACGCUGAAAACACCGGUUCUCGUUCGAUCACCGAAGUUAAGCAUCGUAGAGCCAGGUCAGUACUUAG